CAGAACCUUUGUGACUUAUACCUUACUGUUGCCUCGGCGCUAGCUGGUCCUUCGGGGCCCCUCACCCCCGGGUGUUGAGACAGCCCGCCGGCGGCCAACCCAACUCUUGUUUUUACACUGAAACUCUGAGAAUAAAACAUAAAUGAAUCAAAACUUUCAACAACGGAUCUCUUGGUUCUGGCAUCGAUGAAGAACGCAGCGAAAUGCGAUAAGUAAUGUGAAUUGCAGAAUUCAGUGAAUCAUCGAAUCUUUGAACGCACAUUGCGCCCUCUGGUAUUCCGGAGGGCAUGCCUGUUCGAGCGUCAUUUCAACCCUCAAGCCUGGCUUGGUGAUGGGGCACUGCUUCUUACCCAAGGAGCAGGCCCUGAAAUUCAGUGGCGAGCUCGCCAGGACCCCGAGCGCAGUAGUUAAACCCUCGCUCUGGAAGGCCCUGGCGGUGCCCUGCCGUUAAACCCCCAACUUCUGAAAAUU
rnacentral:rRNA from 1 species